rnacentral:lncRNA from 1 species
GUGAUGAGAGGCAUGGGGCAAGGGCAGGAUGAGCGGGGAAGCCUAGAGAGAGAUGGAUUGUGACAUCACACAGGUCAUAGCCUUCUGUGCACAGGAAAAGGUCAAACCCCUUUUUCAGGUAGUAGAGGAAGUCCACAAACCGGCAAAAAUUACUCUGGCCAGAGAGAUGUGUCCCAAAGACCUUGUUAAAACACCAAAGGUGUUGAAUCUACUAUUCCUUUUGACCAGGCACGGUGGAAAUUUCCAUUUACCAGCUGAAGUAUUACCACCAUGAGGCACUUGACUGGGCUCUGGAGAUUUGAGUGUGAACAGGAUGAAGUUGGUUCUUUCCAUCACUGAGUUUACAGUCCAGUUAGAAGAAUAAUGGUUUCCUCAGUAGUUACAAGUGCACCAC